CAGAAAAUAGUUUAAAAAAAAUAUUAAUUUUGGAGAUUAAUGAUAAAAGAAAUUAUUUUUUUUCUGA
rnacentral:tRNA from 1 species